rnacentral:lncRNA from 1 species
AGGUGGCCGACUUCUUGGUAGCAGAAUUGGGUGGCGAUGUCGCGGACGAAGGGGGUGAGGGCGGCGGUCUGGGCACCGACGGGGGCAGGGCCGCCGCCGGUGAGGCUGGCAUCGAUGCCGUCGAGGCCGUAGCCCAGCGCCGACCAGCAGAAGAACUCCGCCUCCAGGUACUCCAGGUUCAGCGGGAACUCCAGCAGGUCCACGUCCGACUGCGGCAGCAGACCGCCGACCACGCCGCCGCCGGUGCCGCCGUAGAACCCCCUGUUCCGCGCCCACUCGUUGUCCAUGUCCUGCGCCCGCGCGCCGCCGCCGCCGCACAGCGCGACGAGCGCCACCGCCGCGACCACGGCGAAGGUGACCGGUGCAGCCAUGGCUGGGCUAGAGCCUAGAGCUAUCUGCCUCAACUGUCCACGAGCCGCGCGCGAGCUGCGACUAGCUUGCACUUGCACACGCC